rnacentral:rRNA from 1 species
AGAGGGCAGCUACCCAGCGAUGGGGUGCGAAUCUCGAAAGCCUAUCUCAGUUCGGAUUGGAGGCUGAAACCCGCCUCCAUGAAGUUGGAUUCGCUAGUAAUCGCGCAUCAGCCAUGGCGCGGUGAAUACGUUCCCGGGCCUUGUACACACCGCCCGUCAAGCCAUGGGAGCUGGGGGUGCCUGAAGUUCGUGACCGCAAGGAUCGACCUAGGGCAAAACCGGUGACUGGGGCUAAGUCGUAACAAGGUACC